AAAGAGAAACUUACCGCGAAGAUUUUGAGCAUAUAUAUGAUUGAAUUCGAGAUGAAAAAUGGCAAAAUUAUGGCCAGCGAUAAAAGUUCGUGUGAAAUGGUCAGUUGGUCAGUUGGAGCGUUUUAUUGCCAGAAAUACUGUGCUAUGUUAACAUCUUGCCUAGUGAAUGGUGUUUUAUACUUGCAUCUCUCAUCAUCAUCUGCUGUGUCCUCAUAAUUAUGAAAAAUGAACUGUUAUGUACCCCCACCCCCCUCCUUGCUUGUUAGAGAAGUAAACUGAUGAGAGCACUGGAUGAGGGUCUAUCAUCUAUGGUCUGUUAUAAUUUGCUAUUUAUGCAAAUAGUGAGCAAAAAUUAAAGCAAAAUUGUACAAGUUACAUAUAAAGUACUAUAUCAGUACUAUACACGAACUUCUAUCGAUGGAUAAUUUUGCGAGUUUUCAUCCAAUUCAAUCAUAUGUAUGCUCAAAAUCUUCGCGGUAAGUUUCUCUUUACCAUAAAAUUUGAC